ACGGCAUGGAAACCAAUCAAAAUGAUAUUUAACGCUCGCAUAACUGAGUUUCAAGCCAAUUUGAGAUGCCAAUUAAGCCAGCCGCCUGUGAAGGCCAACAAGACUGCCUCAAAGGCAACUGUUAGCCGAACCAAAGUCUGCAGCUGAACUAAUCAAAUGACAUUCACGGCAGCAAUAUAUAUAUAGAGAGAGAGAGCGAGAGAGAGAGAGAUAAAGAUGGAUGGGGAAGUGAGUGAGAGAGCUGUAGCUGAACGAUACUCAACGCUGACACUUAAAGCCGACAAGUAAAGCGCGUCGCAAAGCUGCAGCUGCAGCUGUUCCCAUUAGCGGCAGCAGCGAAUCUGCCUGCCAGCUGUAGCUGGAGUUGGAUGUGGAUGUGGAUGAGGAUGCGACUCUUCUGAAUGUAGGCUUUAGGCUGGACCUGCACUUUGCUGCUUGAAGAGAGUCGCGUGUGCAUUAUACGUGAUACAUAAUACAUUAUACGUCGGAAAAAUCUCAGCUUUGCCUCGAAACGAAUUUCAGUUGCAGGCUUUACGAGCAGCACAUAGAUCAACUGAGGACAUGAGUCUGUUAGAGU